rnacentral:tRNA from 1 species
CUAAGGGAUGNGUUCUUCAGAAGCUUGCUUCUAUCGAACCGUUUUAGAAACAUCAGUGGCCAACGAUCGUCAGGAUCGUUGAGCUGCAUNGGCGGGAUUUCGCCGUCUUCGUUUCUCUUUCUUCGCGGACGAACACGCGCUGGGCCUGCAUGACGCAGGGUCCCUGGUCCUUGACGGGAUANGCGUUAGGGGCUUGUAGCUCAGUUGGUUAGAGCGCGCGCUUGAUAAGCGUGAGGUCGGAAGUUCAAGUCUUCCCAGGCCCACCAGCCUUCGCGCUUCGCUGCUUCGGCUAGGCAAGCCCUUCGAUACGAAGGCUGCCGCGCCGUAGCCUUUGCGAAGGCGGGCUGAUCAAACGAGCAUUCGUCUUCUGGUUACGGGGCCAUAGCUCAGCUGGGAGAGCGCGUGCUUUGCAAGCAUGAGGUCGUCGGUUCGAUCCCGUCUGGCUCCACCAGAUGGUUUGAUCACCGAGGCUGUAUUUGCAGGUAUUCAACCGUCGUCCGCGAAACAUCACUUCGCAUCUUGCUAGUCUGGAUAGACAGCAAGUUGCGUGAUUUUUGACAUCGUAAAGAGGNAGAUCGAUCCGAGUUGGAUCGGGCAGCAAGCAAUUGCUGCGCGAUACUUCAUUAUCUCCGGAUCAUUUCGGCGCUCGCGCGCCUUUCAAUGCAGCUCACAAGGCUGCGUCUGAAGGGAAUGCGGGUUGUAAAUGAUCCUUUUAGCGAAGCUUGACCGCCUCGCUAUCGGA